AUUGCCUUAGUAACGGCGAGUGAAGCGGCAAAAGCUCAGAUUUGAAAUCUGGCGUCAUAUUGGCGUCCGAGUUGUAAUCUGUAGAGGAGUAUUCGAGUGUGGCGUUGGCUUAAGUUCCUUGGAACAGGACGUCAUAGAGGGUGAGAACCCCGUUAACGGCCUUUGUCUUAUGCUCAUGUGAAUCUCCUUCAACGAGUCGAGUUGUUUGGGAAUGCAGCUCUAAAUGGGUGGUAAAUUCCAUCUAAAGCUAAAUACUGGCAAGAGACCGAUAGCGCACAAGUAGAGUGAUCGAAAGAUGAAAAGAACUCUGAACAGAGAGUUAAAUAGUACGUGAAAUUGUUGAAAGGGAAGCACUUGCUACCAGACACGCCUGUAGUUGAUCAGCCUUCAUUCUUGAUGGUGCACUCGGCUACAUGGUGGGUCAGCAUCAGUUGUGGCGGUGGGAUAAAGACCUGGGGAAUGUGGCUUCUCUCGGGAAGUGUUAUAGCCCCUGGUGCAAUACCGCCUUCUCCGACUGAGGACCGCGCCC
rnacentral:rRNA from 2 species